UAGUAGGCCGUUUGCUGCGUCCUGAUAUCGUUCACUUUCAUUAAGCAUGUCUUGGAACUGAAAUAUUUUUUACGGGAACUAACACUUUCAAGCACGCUGAGUUCGAAUCCGAAAACUUCCCGCACUGUAAACCCGCUGUUUUCUCACAAAAUGCUAUUUUAUCUUCGCUAAUUUCACAACAAAUUUUUUCAUUGUUCAACGACACGGAUGGAUGACGCCACACGAUUAUAUCACUCAAAACGACCAAUUUCUAUUAACCAGUCUUCCUUUUAACAAAAGACCGGUUUUGCCCGAAUUAUUUUGAGUUAUGUAAUCUUAUGCGUGUUGCACGUAAACAACAUCUUUUCUACAACUUUGAGAAGGUACAGAUAACGCCUUCUAAAAUCCUCAGUUCUAGCGAUAUCUCUGUAAAAUCACAAGGACGUUAAUGCUAAGUCUUUUCGCUAUAUCACUGGCCUGAAAAAUAACUAAUUUAACGCGAUCAAGGUAUUUAAAACAAAAGUAAUGCGAAGCCAACGUAACGGCAAAGACAACGUUAAAGUGAAAUAUUGUCGAUUGGUUGCUAGUAGAAGACUUACGACAGGAUGAAUCUUAAAUAACCUUAAACUAGGGGAAUAAA